AUGGACGCGUACAAGGCCAAGCCCGCGCGCUGGGUCCAGCUCCUCGCCACCAAGGGCGUCCAGGACCUUGUCCUCGUCAACCGCCCUUGGCCGCUCGACGUGCCCCUCCCCGCCUCGCUCUUCACCAUCACCACCCUCACCCGCCUCUACCUCGGCAUCUGGAAGCUUCCGGGCACGGCCGCCCUGCGUGGCGCCUCCUUUCCCCGCCUCCGCGAGCUCGGCCUCUAUUUCAUGGAAAUGGAGCACGGCGUCGUCGACUCCCUGGUCGCCAGGAGCCCCGUCCUGGAGGUCCUCAACAUCGUGGGAUGCAUCAAUGGCGGGUUGCGCCUACGUCUCGUCAGCUAG
rnacentral:rRNA from 1 species